rnacentral:rRNA from 1 species
AGGAAAAGAAACCAACAGGGAUUGCCCUAGUAACGGCGAGUGAAGCGGCAACAGCUCAAAUUUGAAAUCUGGCGCAAGCCCGAGUUGUAAUUUGUAGAGGAUGCUUCUAGGUAGCGGUCGGUCUAAGUUCCUUGGAACAGGACGUCAUAGAGGGUGAGAAUCCCGUAUGUGAUUGACUUGCACCUUCUACGUAGCUCCUUCGACGAGUCGAGUUGUUUGGGAAUGCAGCUCUAAAUGGGAGGUAAAUUUCUUCUAAAGCUAAAUACCGGCCAGAGACCGAUAGCGCACAAGUAGAGUGAUCGAAAGAUGAAAAGCACUUUGGAAAGAGAGUUAAAAAGCACGUGAAAUUGUUGAAAGGGAAGCGCCUACAACCAGACUUUGCGGCAGUGUUCCGCCGGCUUCUGACCGGCUACUCUCUGUCGUGAGGCAUCAUCGUCUGGGCCCGCCGGAUAAGACCUAAGGAAUGUAGCUACCUUCGGGUAGUGUAUAGCCUUUGGUGAUGCGGCGAGGCUCGGCGAGGUCCGCGCUUCGGCAAGGAUGAUGGCGUAAUGGUUGUAGUCGGCCCGUCUUGAAACACGGACCAAGGAGUCUAACAUCUAUGCGAGUGUUCGGGUGUCAAACCCCUACGCGUAAUGAAAGUGAACGGAGGUGGGAACUUUUUGUGCACCAUCGACCGAUCCUGAUGUCCUCGGAUGGAUUUGAGUAAGAGCAUAGCUGUUGGGACCCGAAAGAUGGUGAACUAUGCCUGAAUAGGGUGAAGCCAGAGGAAACUCUGGUGGAGGCUCGCAGCGGUUCUGACGUGCAAAUCGAUCGUCAAAUUUGGGUAUAGGGCCGAAAGACUAAUCGAACCAU